GACGAACGCUGGCGGCGUGCCUAACACAUGCAAGUCAGGGGGAAAGCUGGCUUCGGCCAGUGAGUACACCGGCGGACGGGUGAGUAACGCGUGAGCAACCUACCCCGCAGACCGGGAUAACCCAUCGAAAGGUGGGCUAAUACUGGAUGAGCGCACGUGCUGCAUGGCAUGUGUGAAAAGGCAGGCAUUAAGCUUGCGCUGCGGGAUGGGCUCGCGUCCCAUUAGCUAGUUGGUGAGGUAACGGCUCACCAAGGCUACGAUGGGUAGCCGGCCCGAGAGGGUGGUCGGCCACAUUGGGACUGAGACACGGCCCAGACUCCUACGGGAGGCAGCAGUGGGGAAUAUUGCGCAAUGCCGGAAACGGUGACGCAGCGACGCCGCGUGGGCGAGGAAGGCCUUCGGGUCGUAAAGCCCUUUCAGUGGGGAAGAAAGGUCCAGGCAGUAACUGGUUUGGAUUUGACGGUACCCACAGAAGAAGCCCCGGCUAACUCCGUGCCAGCAGCCGCGGUAAUACGGAGGGGGCGAGCGUUGUUCGGAGUCACUGGGCGUAAAGCGCACGUAGGCGGUGCGGUAAGUCUGGGGUCAAAGGCUACGGCUCAACCGUAGUAAGGCCUCAGAUACUAUCGUGCUAGAGUGCCGGAGAGGGUAGCGGAAUUCCCUGUGUAGCGGUGAAAUGCGUAGAUAUAGGGAGGAACACCGGUUGCGAAGGCGGCUACCUGGCCGGUAACUGACGCUGAGGUGCGAGAGCGUGGGGAACAAACAGGAUUAGAUACCCUGGUAGUCCACGCUGUAAACGAUGGGCGCUAGGUGUUGGUGGUUAGUAGCCAUCAGUGCCGAAGCUAACGCGUU
rnacentral:rRNA from 1 species